UGGGAAGGGGUUUCCAGGGACUCAGCCCCAA
rnacentral:piRNA from 1 species